rnacentral:lncRNA from 1 species
CCUCUGUGCUCACGUGGAGCCGUGAAAAGGUGCCUCCUGUGCUAUGGAAACUGAGAGCCAAAAGGAACAUCUUUUACUGCCUGAAGAACUUCUCAGGUCAUGUCAGAUGCUGCAGCAGUCCAGGCUCCCCUGUCCUUCCCCAUCUCCUGGAGUUUGCACAAAUUCAUGUCCACAAUUUCAAGGGAAACCCUUUGGAUUAUCUGCUCCUAGAAGAUCCACUGACCAGGUGAGACCUCUAGUGUCCAGUUCCCUUCCUCUCCUUUUCAUACUUGCCCCAUCUCAGUCCCCAGGCAGGAUUAAGCAGGAAGACCACGUUACAGACCAUGUCACAACCCCCCAUCCUACCCUCUGAUGCCCAGGUCAGCAGCUGAGAUGGCAGCCACACUAGUUGGUGGUGACCACAGUGUGUCACCAUCUCCAGCAGUGGUGAUUGUCACACCUGCCAUCUGAGAGCUCCAGAUGAAAACCCUGAACCCCAGCACGUACGUAGUGAUGAAAACUCACGUUUAGCACAAACUUUCCAUCAACAUACCUUCCAGAACCUCUCCUUCAAUAAGCAAGGAGGCAAUGUUCUCCCUGAGAAGAUUUGGAA